CUACGUGCCAGCAGCCGCGGUAAUACGUAUGUCGCAAGCGUUAUCCGGAAUUAUUGGGCAUAAAGGGCAUCUAGGCGGCCAGACAAGUCUGGGGUGAAAACCUGCGGCUCAACCGCAAGCCUGCCCUGGAAACUGUUUGGCUAGAGUGCUGGAGAGGUGGACGGAACUGCACGAGUAGAGGUGAAAUUCGUAGAUAUGUGCAGGAAUGCCGAUGAUGAAGAUAGUUCACUGGACGGCAACUGACGCUGAAGUGCGAAAGCUGGGGGAGCGAACAGGAUUAGAUACCCUGGUAGUCCCAGCCGUAAACGAUGAUUACUGGGUGUGGGCAUGAAGAGUGUCCGUGCCGAAGCAAAUGCGAUAAGUAAUCCGCCUGGGGAGUACGGCCGCAAGGCUGAAACUCAAAGGAAUUGACGGGGACCCGCACAAGCGGUGGAGCAUGUGGUUUAAUUCGACGCAACGCGAGGAACCUUACCAGAUCUUGACAUCC
rnacentral:rRNA from 1 species